AUGGGAUUGCAGAACGAGGAUUAUCAAGGACUGGAAAUCUUGUAUAUAAUGAAUAUAAUUGAUAUUUUUUUCUAGAAUGAGAAGACAAUAGCCUUCUUCUUUUUUUUCACAGUGACAAACGUAUAUACUAAUUCAGAGGGGGAAAAUAUUUUUUGUUGUGUUGAUAUAAACUGGAUAUGAAAAUAAAACUCAGUUUAGGCCACAGCAAAUGUCACCCAAGUUCUCUGUUGAGUAACAUUUAAAGCAAACACUUUGAUCAUCUCGAAUCUAACAGCAAUACAAUACCCCCCCCCCCUCCACCUCCGUAAAAAGUGAAAUGUUCCUUUGGUUAAUUACGUUGCUAAUUCUAUCUAAUUCUGUUUGCAAGUCAAGCUCUUUUUGUCUGUUUAUGAGGCCCUCUAGUGGACACAAUAGGUAUAACUGCUACCUGUCGGGGAGUCCCAUGAAAAAUCUCAUAUGCUGUUGAAAGUGAAUUAAAAGCAGAAAAUAUGUCAGUUGUCAGUACGAUAUAACCCCUUACUAAUGCCACAACAACAGUCAAGAUUAAAAUAAUAAGCAAUUUCCUGUACAGUGCCUGCUAUGGCUAUAUGAAAGAGUUGUAGUUAUUUUAGUUGAGUUUAAACUCUGUGUAAACUCUGCCAUCAUCCUGUCAGCUCUCUGUAGCGUAAUAAACUGUAACAUGCCUCUUGUUCUCGGGUCUCAGCUUCCGAUAGUGUUUUAUUUUCCAUCUCAAGUUUGGGCACUGCGUGUGCGCUCGAGGGAAGCCUCCCCGUGGAGCUCAUUAGAGUGGAUUUGAACUUGUCACGUUGAUUUUGGUCUUAGAUGACUUUGCAGACAGAAUAGAACCAAGCUUGCUUCAAAGACAAAAACGAGCUUGCAGUAAAAGGAGAUGGGUUGAAAUGAGGUCGCGGUGAUGAUUGCGAGAGGUCUAUGAAAAAAGAGGGAUGAUGAGUUCAACGCAUGUGCAUGACUGGCAGAAUAAUCACUUCAAAGUUGAGGCUGAAGAAGGCGGGUUACAAAGUAGAAGGAGAAAACACAUGAAGAAGGUGAUGAAAUAUGAUAUGACGUGUCAGAGAACAGGAAUUCAGAGAUUUUAAGCAGUAUCAUUACUUGCUAAAUGAUGAAAAGGUACUUCUGGUUUUCUUUUUCCCCACUGAGUUGAUCAAAAGGGUUUGUUUAUAUUACACAAUAUUUGUUGCAGCACUCUGAGCAAACUGGCAGCUCCGCAGGCACUGGACCUACUCUGGAACCUAUUAAUAGUCCACCCCUCCUUUUGUUCAUAUAAUGCACAAGUGCACAAUGAUCCUCUGACAGUGGCUUUGUACUUUGCGACUCUUCAAAGGUCAAGUGGCCCUUGUCCAUGACCUUUUCAGUCUCCCAAGUCAGUAUUCUGUAGAACUUUCAGCCUUUUGGACUCCCCAAAGAAGAGAGCAUGGACCACAAUGGGCGAAAAAAAAAGACAUUUGGGGACAUUAUGCCCUCCGCCAAAUCCCAAACUAUCCCCUAUCUUGCUACGAAAGACCUCCCAAGCAACACUCGAAAGAAAUGGAUGCUGCGGGGAGCUGGCGCCUUUCCCGGUUGAUUUGGACGAGAGGCACAAAGAGAGAUGGACAACCUUCCACAUUUACAGUUGAUACACCUUCUCACUUAGUGGGCACUGAACACACGCCUGGCUGUGCGGAAGUGAGGCGAGCUUUCAGUGAUUUCUCCUCUACUUUCUCUUAAAAUUGUCGGUAUUAAUGCAUUAAAGCUGUUGAGAAAAUUUUUAGUGACGCCAUUCACUCUGAGAAUGCAGUUUUUUGUACUGCUUUUCGUUUAAUCUUCCUUCGUCAACUGGAUUUGAUCUCCACGGGGGCAGUGUUGGAUCAAUUUUCACACGGCAGAUCAUUUCAUGCAAAAGCUGCUGUGCAGAAAGUCACUAGAAUAGAGAAUAUAAACCAAGACGGCAGCAUCAUGACUUUAAUUACAGCAAGCUGACCUGAUGACUUGCUACCUGACUUUUGCAUUUUCGGGUAGCAAAAUGCAAUGAUGAAUAUUUCCCUAACAUGAGCAUUAUCAUCUCUUUUCCUGCCCCACUAACCAGACGUCCAGCAUCUUUCUUCAAAAAGGUCCGGACAAAGAGUGACGCCAUGCAUCACAGAUCCAUAUGGACAAUGGACACGUUUAUUUGGUCUCUUUAAAUGAGGACUAUGAAAACAUUGUGGUCUGGCAAUGUAACAAUCAACAAAGAGCUUUUCCGGAUGGCUGACAAAUAUUUAUGAAUAAGACACUGACAGCACACUGUUGCAUAAUUGAGUCAAUUAAACUAUGAACCAAUGAUAAAUCUACAGUCCAUGUUAAUAUGUAUAAUAUAUGUUUUUACUUCCUGUUUUUUCUUGCAGUGGCGAUAAAGUAGUUCACUGUGACAUGCGAUGAAUGAAUAAUGCAGUUGGUCGAAUCAUCUUAUGAUUUCCACUUAAUGUGCAUGAUUAAAAUAUGACUUCAUUUAUUUCUUGCCGCAUCUAAGGACGUCAACAUUUUGUUUUAUGUUUUAAACGCGUCAUAAUUACACAUGCAGUGGGACAAAACACAUUCAGAGAUGUAUUCAUUUUUUUUGUUAAAACUGUGUUUCGACUUUGGUGAGGUUUUACACAUUGAGAUUUAUUUACGCUGGCGAUGCACUUUUGUGAAUCAUCUGUAAAAUAACUUCAUUAAAAUCAUGAGGUGAGAUGAGAGGCUCGUUUUGCCUUUUAA